GAUGAACGCUGGCGGCAUGCCUAAUACAUGCAAGUCGAGCGAAAAGACGUGCAGCUUGCUGCUCUGAAGCUAGCGGCGGACGGGUGAUUCACACGUGGAUGACUUACUUAUAAGACUGGCAUAACUUCAGGAAACCUGAGCUAAUAUACGAUCAUAUAUUGAACCGCAUGGUUCACUAGUGCAUGCCGGUUUUGCUGUCCCUUAUAGCUGGUUCCACGUCGCAUUAGCUAGUUGGUAAGGUAACGGCUUACCAAGGCGACGAUGCGGAGCCGACCUGAGAGGGUGAUCGGCCACACUGGAACUGAGACACGGUCCAGACUCCUACGGGAGGCAGCAGUGGGGAAUCUUCGACAAUGGGCGAAAGCCUGACGGAGCAAUGCCGCGUGAGUGAUGAAGGUCUUCGGAUCGUAAAGCACUUUUAUUAGGGAAGAACAAAUGUGGAAUAAACUACGCACGGCUUGACGGUACCUAAAGAAAAAGCCCCGGCUAACUACGUG
rnacentral:rRNA from 1 species